ACCUACGGGGCGCAGCAGUGGGGGAUAUUGGACAAUGGGGGAAACCCUGAUCCAGCGACGCCGCGUGAGUGAAGAAGUAUUUCGGUAUGUAAAGCUCUAUCAGCAGGGAAGAAAGAAAUGACGGUACCUGAGUAAGAAGCCCCGGCUAACUACGUGCCAGCAGCCGCGGUAAUACGUAGGGGGCAAGCGUUAUCCGGAAUUACUGGGUGUAAAGGGAGCGUAGACGGUAAUGCAAGUCUGGAGUGAAAGGCGGGGGCCCAACCCCCGGACUGCUCUGGAAACUGUGUAACUG
rnacentral:rRNA from 1 species